rnacentral:tRNA from 1 species
GCCGGCUAGCUCAGUUGGUAGAGCAUUCGACUCUUACAAUCUUGAGUUUCUCCUUGAUACUUCCUUAAUGGAAAUUCAUCGGCAUCGAAUUGUCGUGGGUUCGAGCCCCACGUUGGGCG